GCGGCAUGCCUAACACAUGCAAGUCGAACGAGGGCUUCGGCCCUAGUGGCGCACGGGUGAGUAACACGUGGGAACCUGCCUUUCGGUUCGGGAUAACGUCUGGAAACGGACGCUAACACCGGAUACGUCCUUCGGGAGAAAGUUUACGCCGAGAGAGGGGCCCGCGUCCGAUUAGGUAGUUGGUGGGGUAAUGGCCCACCAAGCCGACGAUCGGUAGCUGGUCUGAGAGGAUGAUCAGCCACACUGGGACUGAGACACGGCCCAGACUCCUACGGGAGGCAGCAGUGGGGAAUAUUGGACAAUGGGGGCAACCCUGAUCCAGCAAUGCCGC
rnacentral:ncRNA from 1 species